GGUUUGAAUACAUGUAGGAAUAAUGAUUCAGUUUCAUUUUGAAUCGGAGAUAUGGUAAAAACCAAUAAGCAUGAAUAAAGCAGCCAUAAAAAUGUACACCUUUGCCGCUUAGCUAUAUAUACAAUUGGGAGGUUGUUACAUAAAAUAGCCUGAAAUAUAUAAUAAGCCCGGUAUAUUCACAUCUGACGGCGUUACUUUAUCUCAUGUGGGCAAUUGUUUUUUUCUUAUUUCAUUACAGGGUAAUUUAAAUAUAAAUAUAUGUGUGUGGUCAUUUAAAAGUACGGUCACGGCGGGUGUGUUGUGUCGCUACCGCAUUUGUGGCGGUGGUCGAACUCAGUGUUCAAUAACUCUUGGCAUAGCCACUGAAUUCGACCAUGUGGCGAAAAUAGCGACACAACAUCUACAAAUAUAUUAUGCUUCUUAUAAUGGAAUUAUGUAUCCGC
rnacentral:lncRNA from 1 species